AUUGAACGCUGGCGGCAGGCCUAACACAUGCCAGUCGAACGGUAACAGGAAGAAGCUUGCUUCUUUGCUGACGAGUGGCGGACGGGUGAGUAAUGUCUGGGAAACUGCCUGAUGGAGGGGGAUAACUACUGGAAACGGUAGCUAAUACCGCAUAACGUCGCAAGACCAAAGAGGGGGACCUUCGGGCCUCUUGCCAUCGGAUGUGCCCAGAUGGGAUUAGCUAGUAGGUGGGGUAACGGCUCACCUAGGCGACGAUCCCUAGCUGGUCUGAGAGGAUGACCAGCCACACUGGAACUGAGACACGGUCCAGACUCCUACGGGAGGCAGCAGUGGGGAAUAUUGCACAAUGGGCGCAAGCCUGAUGCAGCCAUGCCGCGUGUAUGAAGAAGGCCUUCGGGUUGUAAAGUACUUCCAGCGGGGAGGAAGGGAGUAAAGUUAAUACCUUUGCUCAUUGACGUUACCCGCAGAAGAAGCACCGGCUAACUCCGUG
rnacentral:rRNA from 1 species